rnacentral:rRNA from 1 species
GGGGUAAACCUGCGAAACUCGAAUGAACGAACGGAGAGAUUCAUCGUCAUCCGCGGCGCGCGGGCGCGCGUCUCGAUGUCGCCGGCCUCGCGCCGGUCGGCACGUCGCGCGCCCGCCGGCCGUCCGCGGACGUCGUGCACUUCUCUCUCAGUAUACGUGCAUCGCGACCCGUUCGACGUCGGCCUAAGCGCCGCCCGGGAGCCCGGUCGCGCGCCCCUCGCGGGUCGCGACCGGACCGCUGGCGGACGCCGGCCGGCCGUCGGACGGUACCAACGUACGAAGCGCGCACGCGUUCCCAACGCGUCCGGCCCGACGCAAGUCAACGUCGUAUCCGUCGUACACCGCCCGAGCGCGGACGUCGGUGCGGCGCGUCUGCCGUCGCAGCCGUGUCACACAAGUCUCGGACUGUGCGCGUCUCCGUCUGCGAUGAUUCAGUUUCGGGCACUCGCAGGACCCGUCUUGAAACACGGACCAAGGAGUCUAGCAUGUAUGCGAGUCAUUGGGACUUUUACGCUAAACCGAAAGGCGCAACGAAAGUGAAGGCGCGCGCCAGUCGCGCGCUCAGGGAGGAUGGAGCGCCGGUCUAGGUCGGCCUCUCGCACUCCCGAGGCGUCUCGUUUCCAAUCUGCGAAUGCAGGCGCGCUC